GGAAAACCAAAAAAGUUUGGGUAGAGCCGGAUCUAAGUGUUGGCUAGGUAAACGCCCCGUAGUAAGAGGGGUAGUUAUGAACCCUGUGGACCACCCCCAUGGGGGCGGUGAAGGGAAAGCUCCCAUUGGUAGAA